AAAGGCAUAACUUUUCCUAACUCAAGAGGAUGCUACGAAGUUUUGAAUUUGAGACUAGGCUCUUUGGACAUAUCGUCUUCAUCCCAUCAUUCUAGAGAUUUGGAUCUGAUUAGUAUUCUUAUCCGGAUAUGAUGAUCAUUGAUGUAUUGAGAUCUAAUAUGUGAGGGGAAAUUGAAGAGGACGAUGAACUCCUUCAUGAAUCUCUGAUUGAUGAGGUGCAUGAUCGCUAGUAGUAGCUGGGUGAGCUUCAUACUCUCUUUUGUAGCCAUGACUUUUUCUCAUAAGCGAUUAAUGGUAUUCGUCUAAUACUUCGAUUGAACUUCUUGUAGCAAAGAUUUUGCCCAAUUAAAGUCUUUAUCAGUUUUUUUUUGUUGCAAUUUAUGUCUUUGUUCUAACUACUUGGUUUGUAUA